GGGGAGGGGAAGAGAAAGAGGGAGACACAGAAUCCGAAGCAGACCCUAGCCUCUGAGCUGUCAGCACAGAGCUUGGAGUGGGGCUUGAACCAAUGAGCUGUGAGAUCAUGACCUGAGCUGAAGUCAGAUGCUUAACCGACUGAGCCACCCAGGUGCCCCUGAAAAUGUAUUUGUAGUAGAAGAGUAAUUCUCAAUCAAGGAUGAGAAUGUCCCCCAGGAGGCAUUUGGCAAUUUCUGGAGAUAUUUUUGUCACAGCUGUGGAGAGAGGGUAUGCCACUGACAUCUGGUGAGUGGAGGCCAGCAGCAAUGUGCAGGACAGCCUCCACAACAAAGAUUUAUUUGGUACGAAAUGUCAAUAGUGCUGAAGCUGAGAAACACUGGAAUAGAAGGGAAGCAACCAAAAUAUCCUAAAUGAGGAAUUGCCUUAGCAAACUAUGGCACAUCUAUCAAUAUAAUGGACUACUGUGCAGGUCUUAGAAAGUGUACUGUCAAAAUAUUUACAGAGAUGACAAUCUAAUUAUUAGUGCUUUCUCACACUGAACAGCCUAUAUUUCCUCACACAAAAGCUCUCUAGUAUGUUCUAAGUUCUAUUAUUCUUUGUUACAUCCAUGAUCUUCUUACGUUCCUAACAAGGAGGAGAAUUCUUUGGGGAAAAGGUCAGCACUUAUUUACCAUUUCCCUCAACACACCUUACACAGUGUUGGUGCAAGGAAGGAAAACUGCAGUUAUUACCCAGUGUAUUGGCUCCCUUUGGUUGAAGAUGCUGAAUUACCUGGAGGGAAAACAACCCUGGUUGAGAUAAAGCUAAAGAGGAGGAAGAGGAACGACCUGGGAGCCACUGGGAACCAAUGUCAUGCCAUGACGACAGGAGGUUGCUAUGAACAGAGCCCACCCGAAGAGGCAGAACUGAGAAGGAGAGAGACUCGGACUCUGGUCACAGCAUUUGAACUGCCAAAACAAGCUUCUUUGAAAGGAUAAAAGAAAGAGCAAGAUGGAAAUGAAACAAAUAUGUGUGUCAGAACUUCACCCAUUCGUUAAUGG